UUGCCAAGAGAAACUCUCUAUAAGUUCCACUUGUUGAAGGGAUUCUGUUACUGAUCUAACCUAUCUUUAAAUUUAUCAACCAAUUGCAAAUGAAUAUUCAUACAUGCCUCUAAAAGGAAAAGUAGAGUUCUGCUCUCGUCAGAUAAAUAGAAAGCUGCUGAUGAUGCAGUGGUCUGUUUCUCUCUCUCUGACUGGCGGUCGUGAUGUGCAGGAUAAACCAAGCAGCACUUCUCUUCAUUCAGCUUUUAGUGAUGUGUCAUGUCUUUGCAGAAAACCACAGGUCUACCUUUGUGUUCAGAGGAGGCUCAGUGACCCUGACUUGCAACAUAUCCAACAAAAAUGCAACACAAAUCUCCUGGACCAACGGCAGAUCUGUUUUCCAAUAUUCCGUUGUGCUGAACUGCACAUUUUCAAAUUUCUCAUUUUACAAACUGAAUAUAAAUCAUGAGUUACCUACAGAGCUAA